GUCUUUUUGUAUUUAAUAUAAAGUCUAACCUGCCCAUUGAAGAAUAAUUUUAAAAGGCUGCGGUAUUUUGACCGUACAAAGGUAGCAUAGUCAUUAGUUUUUUAAUUGGAAACUUGUAUGAAUGGUUGAAUGAAAAAUUAACUUUUUUAAAAGAAAUAUUGAAUUUUACUUUUUAAUUAAAAGGUUAAAAUUUAUUUAAAAGACGAGAAGACCCUAUAGAGUUUUAUAAUCUUUGUUAUAAUUUUUAAUAAGUUUAUUUAAAAUUUUUUAAUUAAUAUUAUUUUGUUGGGGUGAUGAUAAAAUUUAAUUAACUUUUAUUUAAUAUCUACAUUAAUAUAUGAUUUUUUGAUCCAGUAUUAUUGAUUAAAAAUUUAAAUUACCUUAGGGAUAACAGCGUAAUUUUUUUUUAAGUUCUUAUUAAUAAAAAAUUUUGCGACCUCGAUGUUGGAUUAAGAUUUAAUUUUAGGUGCAGCAGUUUAAAGUUUAAGUCUGUUCGACUUUUAAAUUCUU
rnacentral:rRNA from 1 species